ensembl:lncRNA
CCCAAGGAGGACAGGCCCAAGGAGGACAGGCCCAAGGAGGACAGGCCCAAGGAGGACAGGCCCAAGGAGGACAGGCCCAAGGAGGACACUCAAACACUGAAGGAUGCCACUGGCAGCACCAAUCUGUUUGAGAAGUUUCUGCUGAACUGUGAGGCCAAGGACCGAGCUCCACGGAGGCCUGCACCGCACCAGCUGCCCCCUGAGAAGAACGCCAGCAAGCCCUUCAAGUUAAUCGGGAAAAUUGAGAGGAUCCCAAAGUCAUCCAAGGAGUCUCCUGUGCAAAAAGCAGACGCUGAGAGAACUGAUAAACUCAAGCAAACAGAGGCGAUCUGCAAAGCAAGCCAGAGUCAUGGCUUCAGUUUGGACAGUGAUGAGAGAGAGGGCGAGUUCAGCCCCAAAAAUCGAGCUGGGGAUGAGGCCCGAAGAGAGCGUACUGACGAGGGGCAGCGGUCAGGCUGGGACAGGCAUAGUUCCACGGCCCGGCGGAGAGAGGACAGCGAGCCGAGGCUCUUCAUGGCCUGUGAGGAGCCCCCGGAGGACCUGUCUGAGCCCAGUGACAAAACUGGUAGAAGCACACACAUUUCACUGCCCUUACUGUGGGAAGUCCAAAUACAAUAUAGUGUUUAAAUGUUUUUAUCAAGAGUCCUAUAUUAUGCAAAAUUGAAUCAUAAGCUUCCAGUUGUAUUGGAAUGUUGUAACCUCAUGAAAAACAUACCUCAAGGUGUUUUGUUUUAUUCACACGUUUGAGUAAUACAUUAUUAGGCUGUUUGCAUUCCCAAAGUUCAAAAUGCUGUUCCACCUUGUGAUGUCAUAAAGCUGUAGUUUUAAACAGCUGCUUUAAGCCUC